rnacentral:rRNA from 1 species
GAGUUUGAUCUUGGCUCAGGACGAACGCUGGCGGCGUGCCUAAUACAUGCAAGUCGAGCGAACGGACGAGAAGCUUGCUUCUCUGAUGUUAGCGGCGGACGGGUGAGUAACACGUGGAUAACCUACCUAUAAGACUGGGAUAACUUCGGGAAACCGGAGCUAAUACCGGAUAAUAUUUUGAACCGCAUGGUUCAAAAGUGAAAGACGGUCUUGCUGUCACUUAUAGAUGGAUCCGCGCUGCAUUAGCUAGUUGGUAAGGUAACGGCUUACCAAGGCAACGAUGCAUAGCCGACCUGAGAGGGUGAUCGGCCACACUGGAACUGAGACACGGUCCAGACUCCUACGGGAGGCAGCAGUAGGGAAUCUUCCGCAAUGGGCGAAAGCCUGACGGAGCAACGCCGCGUGAGUGAUGAAGGUCUUCGGAUCGUAAAACUCUGUUAUUAGGGAAGAACAUAUGUGUAAGUAACUGUGCACAUCUUGACGGUACCUAAUCAGAAAG